rnacentral:misc_RNA from 1 species
AGCUCGUAGUUGAACCUUGGGCCUGGCUGUCCGGUCCGCCUCACCGCGUGCACUGGUGCGGCCGGGCCUUUCCUUCUGGGGAACCGCAUGCCCUUCGCUGGGCGUGUUGGGGAACCAGGACUUUUACUUUGAAAAAAUUAGAGUGUUCAAAGCAGGCCUAUGCUCGAAUAUCUCAGCAUGGAAUAAUAGAAUAGGACGUGCGUCCUCAUUUUGUUGGUUUCUGGGGGCGUCGUAAUGAUUAAAAGGAACGGUUGGGGGCAUCGGUAUUCCAUUGUCAGAGGUGAAAUUCUUGGAUUUACG